CCUACGGGAGGCAGCAGUGGGGAAUAUUGGACAAUGGGGGGAACCCUGAUCCAGCGACGCCGCGUGAGUGAAGAAGUAUUUCGGUAUGUAAAGCUCUAUUAGCAGGGAAGUAAGAAAUGACGGUACCUGACUAAGAAGCCUCGGCUAACUCCGUGCCAGCAGCCGCGGUAAUACGGAGGAUGCGAGCGUUAUCCGGAUUUAUUGGGUUUACGGGUUGCGCAGGCGGAAGAUCAAGUCAGCGGUAAAAUUGAGGGGCUAAACCUCUUCGAGCAGUUGAACCUGGUUUUCUUGAGUGAGCGGGAGGUAUGCGGAAUGCGUGGUGUAGCGGUGAAAUGCAUAGAUAUCACGCAGAACUCCGAUUGCGAAGGCAGCAUACCAGCGCUCAACUGACGCUCAUGCACGAAAGUGUGGGUAUCGAACAGGAUUAGAUACCCCAGUAGUC
rnacentral:rRNA from 1 species